GGGGAUUUAGCUCAGUGGUAGAGCGCUCGCCUAGCGAGCGCAAGGCCCUGGGUUCGGUCCCCAGCUCCG
rfam:Rattus norvegicus chromosome 9, whole genome shotgun sequence.